UUAUACCCCUAUAAAAAAUAUUAUGCUAGAACUAGUAACAAGAACUCGAUUUUCUCCAAAAUGUAAGCAUAAGCCAAAACGGACUAUCCAUUAGCACUUAACGUAAAUGCCUUCACCAUAGCAACAAAUCUCAAGAAAACCCUAUAACCUUACACGUUACCCUAACACCAGAACAUUUAAGGAAAGAUUAAAAGAGAAAGAAGGAACUCGGCAAAUUUCAGCCCCGCCUGUUUACCAAAAACAUCGCCUCUUGACAAAACAUAAGAGGUCCAGCCUGCCCAGUGACAAACUUUAACGGCCGCGGUACCCUAACCGUGCGAAGGUAGCAUAAUCACUUGUUCUUUAAAUAGGGACUAGUAUCAACGGCACCACGAGGGCUGUACUGUCUCCUUUCUCUAAUCAGUGAAACUGAUCUCCCCGUGAAGAAGCGGGGAUUAAACUAUAAGACGAGAAGACCCCAUGGAGCUUUAAGCAAUGUAUUCACCCCUGCACCUUUACAUCAACCAAACAUAAGAGACCUGAAUACUAGCUUUAGGUUGGGGGGACCACGGAGUAUAAUAUAACCUCCAUGACAAACGGGCCACGCCCUUAUCCACGAGCUACAACUCUAAGAAUCAAUAAACUGAUGUUUUAUGACCCGAUAAUUCGAUCAACGAACCAAGUUACCCUGGGGAUAACAGCGCAAUCUACUUCAAGAGCCCAUAUCGACAGGUAGGUUUACGACCUCGAUGUUGG
rnacentral:rRNA from 1 species